rnacentral:lncRNA from 1 species
CUCGUUCUCACACUGAAGCCCUGGGAACGAGGUUGGGUAGACCCAGUCCUCUGCUCGAUUGGGAAAUGGCUAAUUAUAAUCUGGCUGAUGAGAAAGAUCGUAACUUUAUCUUUUAUGACUGUUACAACCAUAUAUGGAAACCUGGCUUAAAACUGUUGCAUGCAACGUGCUUACAACUUGAGUUGUACUGUGUAAUUGGUGAUGUGUUUGGCUGCAUGACCUGAUUAAAACGCAUCAAAUGCUCUUAUGAGAGAUGGGGCAAGCCAGCCCGGGUACCCAAGCCGGCCUGGUUUGGGUGAAAUCUUGCUCUUGUUAUUACGUCCUACUACAUUUGACUUAGCGUUUAUAUGGGAACCGGGCUGGCUAGCCUAAGCGAGAUCCCGCCUCGACUGACCCGAGAUCUAGGGUGCCCUGGCUGGGGAGUUUUCCAUACAAACACAAUGACCCGGGCUGGCUCGCUUAAGCAAGCUAAGUGUUAUUGCUUUUUUCGCAAGAAUAUAUUUGUUGUAAAUAAGAUUUUCUCGUCAGAUUUCGAUCUUAAAAGGUUUCUGUGAACGAUUUUGUGGGUUAUACAGUUACAGUAAAAGUUGAUCGCAAAAGUGCAAAUUUUAGGUUUGUGAGAGAAUAUAUUUAUAUUAUACUAUUUAUGGCAGUGUUGUUUUGAUGAGCCAGCCUGCCUCAAAAGUCUCAUGUGUAAACACUGACUCAGCAAAGCGAGCUACCUCAGCUAACUUGGAAAACCCAGCCUAGCUUCCUCCAUAUAAACAGCCCUGUAGAUGCAAAUGACUAUUUUUUUCAAUCUCUACAAUUCCACCCUAUACUCUUGCAAUCAAUUUGGGGCUAUCAGCCCAAAACCUGAGACAGUGGCGGACACGGCGGGGUGGCGAGUGGCCGCUCCUAGUGUCUAAUAAAAUAAAAGGGGCUAAUUAACGAUAGGCAACUUGCACUAAAAGGUCACGUAACUACAAAUCUACAAUGAACAUCCAGAGUGAUAUUUUAAGCAAAAAUUCAUAUUUUUUGUUUUAAAAACUUGGUGGGGGGGGGGCUUUAUAGAGGGCCAUUUGACGGAGGUUAUAUUUCAUUUUACGUAGUGCUAAAUCUUGUUUUAUCUUUAUUUGUCAAGAUAAGGACGAGGCUAUACGUCGGUUGGAAGUUCUCGAAAAAGGUAAAGCAAAAAUAAUCGAAUUCCGAUGAUGUUGAUCGGGCAAGGCCGAGGCGGAACGACUUCGUUGAUCAGACGUCUUUUAGGAUUACCAUUAAAUCCCUCCGCCACGCCGGUGGCAUUAUAUAUAACGACCAACAAACAACAGGAUAAAAGAAAGGGAAUAAAUAAGAAUUCACACAACUGCAUUAAACAUCCUACGAGGAGAUAGACAGCGCCUCUAUUGGUUCCUCUUUAGGCCCAAUAUUAGCUGAUAUAGUUAUAUAUAAGCAUUAUUAAAUUUUACCGUUGUCGUGCUGAGGACACUCGACCAUAUUUUAAAUUUGCGGUUGAUACUUUUCCCGAUGGUUCAAUACAUUUCUUGAUUUUAAAAUGUGCGAGUCCAGCAUUGAUGUUUUCCGUAAAAAUCCGAUCAGCAUUCGAAAAAUGUUUACGUUUUAGCUUCUUUAUAAGAGAUUUUCUUUUAGCAAAAGGAAAGCUUUUCCAGGGCGUGCAGGAGUAACUUUUGAAAUCUAUUUGUUGAAUAAAGUGGUGUUGGUGCAUAUUUUGGAGGCC